CUACGGGGUGCUCCAGUGGGGAAUAUUGCACAAUGGAGGGAACCCUGAUGCAGCAACGCCGCGUGGAGGAUGACGCAUUUCGGUGUGUAAACUCCUUUUAUAUGUCAAGAAAAUGACGGUAGCAUAUGAAUAAGCACCGGCUAACUCCGUGCCAGCAGCCGCGGUAAUACGGAGGGUGCAAGCGUUACUCGGAAUCACUGGGCGUAAAGGACGCGUAGGCGGGUUGGAAAGUCAGGUGUGAAAUCCUACAGCUUAACUGUAGAACUGCACUUGAAACUUCUAAUCUAGAGUAUGGGAGGGGGAGAUGGAAUUAGUGGUGUAGGGGUAAAAUCCGUAGAUAUCACUAGGAAUACCUAAAGCGAAGGCGAUCUCCUGGAACAUUACUGACGCUAAGGCGUGAAAGCGUGGGGAGCAAACAGGAUUAGAUACCCUAGUAGUC
rnacentral:rRNA from 1 species